GUUCUUGAAUGCAUUAAACAUAUUAUAACGUAUGUAGGUUCUGUAUGAAUGUGCGUUGUUCUAUGUUGCAGUUCCCGCCUGUCAACCCACACCAGUCUACUGGCCAUCAUCAUCUCCUGGCUGGUACUGUAAGUAUACACUAAGGCUCUAAAGCACCUCUUGAAUAUACUGUACAAUAUCAGUGGUGUUUGUUUUUCUGUAUACUGCAUGUCACUCUUCUAUUGCAGUAUAAUACAGUCCUGUACAUGUCCAGUGUAAUAUAUCCUUCUCAAACUUGACUGAAAAGGUGUUGAUUCUAUUUAUCUUCCAGUGCAUCAUAUAUUCACAGACAAUCCAUUUCCACCUACACCCAUGACAGGUAUUUGGUAUUAUUUUAAUUCUUGCCAAUCAGGCAUUUGAUGUCAACAUUAACAAUAUUUAAACGUGCCUGACAUUUUGUUUUGCAGAGCUCUGUGUUGUUAUUUGGGCGAGGAGUUUCUCCUGACCAUAUGACUAGACCAGGAAAACUUCCAGGCCCUAGUUACUAGGGCUGAGAGUUAUUUGCUUCAUAGCCUCUGUUUACUGUAUGUCCUUACGUCCUUAUGUCUGGUGCUUCUCACCUCAAAGAUCUUGUGAUUACAAAAAAUACAUGUAAAAGCCCUUUAUUAUUUUCAAUUACAUUCUGUCACAUGAAUUCGUUUUUGUGCACCAUAUUUUAUAACUUCAGUACCAUUUAAGUACAGUACAUGGUUACCAAGUACGCAAUGAAAAGGUGUUGUACAUAGAAGUCUAACUGAUCUGUUUUCUUGCUGUUUAACAUUAUUUAACAUCCCUGGUUUAGUCCCGUGUUGCGCACCACCUCAGCUACUUUUGUCUCCUUGUCGUCACGUACAAUUUUAACUAGCUAACCUGUUUGAUCUUAUCUAGAGUAACAUAAUACAUGAUGAGAUAUGUCAUCUGGGUCCAUUUGAAUUUACAACUUUUUUUCAUCAUCUCCACUGCCCAUUCCAACAGCUCAUCCAGCGCAGCCGUUUUAUCAAGCUCCUCCAGCUUAUCAAGUUUAUCAAGCUCCUCCAAUUUAUCAAGCUCCUCCAGUUCAACCAGCACCAGCUCAACCAGCUCAUCCAACAGCUCCAGUUCAACCAGCUCAACCAGCACCAGCUCAACCAACAGCUCCAGUUCAACCAGCUGAACCAGUACCUGGACCUGCACCAGCUCCAUCGACUCAAGAACCACAGGCUCCCAAAGAAAAGGCUGCCUCCACAAAGAAGGUUCCAAAGGAAAAGACCAAGGCAGCUGCCUCAAAGACGGAGUCUCCUAAAGGAAAAGUUAAGAAGCAAGAACUUGUGGUGUCCAACGGGAAGGUCAAACCAGCUGUUGUAAAGAAAGAAGCUGUUGUCUCUGAAGAAAAGACAAAACCUUCCACAACAAAGAAAGAUCCUGUGGAAAAAGGCAAGGACAAAAUAACUCCUACAAAGAAAGAGCCUGCAAUCUCCAAAGAAAAAGUCAAGGCAACCACUAGCAAGACAACCACACCCACUACCAAGAAAGUUGUUUUAGAACCCGAGCCCCCUAAAGAAAAAACCACUCCAAGAGUCCCCACUAUGAGGAAAGGUAACCACACAAAUGUAGUGGUGCCAAUGGUCAAAGCCACCGCAAGAGUUGUCGCUAUAAGACCCAUAUCUACAAAAAAAGGUAACCACACAGCAAUUGAAAUGUUUUUCACACUAAAUACAGAUUCUUUUCAGUUGGAUACAAUGAAAAUUGGAAUCAGGCUGUCUAACUGUUCUCACACUUUUAGGUCCUGCGAUGAAGGAGAAGCUAACUAA
rnacentral:lncRNA from 1 species